rnacentral:rRNA from 1 species
AAACUGAAGAGUUUGAUCAUGGCUCAGAUUGAACGCUGGCGGCAGGCCUAACACAUGCAAGUCGAGCGGAAACGAUCCUAGCUUGCUAGGAGGCGUCGAGCGGCGGACGGGUGAGUAAUGCAUAGGAAUCUGCCCGGUAGUGGGGGAUAACCUGGGGAAACCCAGGCUAAUACCGCAUACGCCCUACGGGGGAAAGCAGGGGAUCUUCGGACCUUGCGCUAUCGGAUGAGCCUAUGUCGGAUUAGCUAGUUGGUGAGGUAACGGCUCACCAAGGCUGCGAUCCGUAGCUGGUCUGAGAGGAUGAUCAGCCACAUCGGGACUGAGACACGGCCCGAACUCCUACGGGAGGCAGCAGUGGGGAAUAUUGGACAAUGGGCGAAAGCCUGAUCCAGCCAUGCCGCGUGUGUGAAGAAGGCCUUCGGGUUGUAAAGCACUUUCAGUGAGGAAGAAAGCCUUGAGGUUAAUACCCUCGAGGGAGGACAUCACUCACAGAAGAAGCACCGGCUAACUCCGUGCCAGCAGCCGCGGUAAUACGGAGGGUGCGAGCGUUAAUCGGAAUUACUGGGCGUAAAGCGCGCGUAGGCGGCUUGAUAAGCCGGUUGUGAAAGCCCCGGGCUCAACCUGGGAACGGCAUCCGGAACUGUCAGGCUAGAGUGCAGGAGAGGAAGGUAGAAUUCCCGGUGUAGCGGUGAAAUGCGUAGAGAUCGGGAGGAAUACCAGUGGCGAAGGCGGCCUUCUGGACUGACACUGACGCUGAGGUGCGAAAGCGUGGGUAGCAAACAGGAUUAGAUACCCUGGUAGUCCACGCCGUAAACGAUGUCGACUAGCCGUUGGGCUCCUUGAGAGCUUUGUGGCGCAGUUAACGCGAUAAGUCGACCGCCUGGGGAGUACGGCCGCAAGGUUAAAACUCAAAUGAAUUGACGGGGGCCCGCACAAGCGGUGGAGCAUGUGGUUUAAUUCGAUGCAACGCGAAGAACCUUACCUACCCUUGACAUCGAGAGAACUUUCCAGAGAUGGAUUGGUGCCUUCGGGA